AACAUUUGUUCGUGUGAGAUCACGUGACAGCGGCGGAUUCAAAAUCCAACUCAGUAUUUACAGAUCUGCUCCUGAAUUUCAGAUCUUCAUGUUCUGGUCCACUCUAAGCAGAAAGCCACAUAGUCUUUUGUGGCCUGCACUGAAAUUAUUCCUCUUUCUGGGUGUGACUUUGCUAAUCCAGUUUUGGCAAUUCGUGAUUUCUAUCUGUCAGCUUAAAUCAAAGGAUUACACGCGGUGAGUUGAUAAUGUUCUGCAUUUCUUUGAAUUAGGAAAAAGCCUCAAAAAUACAUUUGAAUGAAAUGGAAACAUGACGGAGCCUGCGAUAUACAGUAUGUCUGCACCAGAAGGCUCUUUCAUUUUCACGUGUUUUUCUUGCACUUUUUACUCACAACAUCACACGGCGUCUGCCACUCUCCAUCUGUGGAACUGGUCCUGCCGGCGAGCUCUCCCUCCUUCCGUCUGGAUCUGCAUGUCAUAUGGCUGCGUGUGUCUCAGCAAACUGGCAAUGUUUGGACUGUGGAAGGAAAUGUAGAUACCAUUACACAACACAGUCUACAGAAGCACCAUUUCCCGCUCCCUAAGACACAAGCUCCCAGAAUGAUUGAUGACCAUCAACGCUGUUGUC
ensembl:lncRNA